rnacentral:rRNA from 1 species
GACGAACGCUGGCGGCGUGCUUAACACAUGCAAGUCGAGCGGUAAGGCCCUUCGGGUACGACGAGCGGCGAACGGGUGAGUAACACGUGGGUAACCUGCCCUCAGCUCUGGGAUAAGCCCGGGAAACUGGGUCUAAUACCGGAUAUCACCUUGGGAGGCAUCUUCCGGGGUUGGAAAGUUUUUGGUCGGCUGAGGAUGGGCCCGCGGCCUAUCAGCUUGUUGGUGGGGUAGGUGGCCUACCAAGGCGACGACGGGUAGCCGGCCUGAGAGGGCGACCGGCC